rnacentral:lncRNA from 1 species
GCAAACCUUCAUGCACGAAGGUUUGUGUGUGCGAGGAGUCCCAGCACCAAUGUGCGGGGACAAUUGUUCACUGGAGGGGCUAGAUUUCUGUGUUGUUUAUUAGUGCCAAAAUGAUUUUUGAGAUUUUUCAUUCCACACGCUUCUUCCAACGCAAACCCUAGCAUGUACUCUCCUAUGUUUUUCACAUCUCCAAUCUUCCAAAGCUAUCUAUAAGGUGUCAUCUCCAAAUGAAUCUCUCCUCUUCUAGAUAAGCCGAACACAGUCACUCAGAAGGCCUCAAGUACUCUAUCGUUGGGCUCGCAUAUGAACAGGCGCUUCAUUUCCUUGCUUCGACGAACUACCGUGGGGAUUUGGCUCUAAAGCCAUCGUCCUUGAAGCAAGUCAAGGAAUACUGUUAUCUGUACAGCCUUCUCGAGCUGCAGAGCUCUUUUCAUACUUGGUUGAGCUUCAGACUUUCCCUGAAACACUCUUUCGUAAAUACCUCAUCGACUAAGUUAUUUUUACUCGAAAUAGAGAAUAAUCUCCAAUUUUGGUAGUUUUGAAAUUAUUUAUUUUUUGGCUCUAUUUUAUCUUUUGCGAUUUGUUUGGUUAAUAAUGUAUUAAACAAGAUUGUAUUCCUUAAUUUAGUCAGAUAAAUUAACAAAUUACUUAAAUUGGGUUAUGUUAUUUUUCAUAAUUUUUUGAUGAAUAAAAGAGUUGCCUUUUCAAACAUUCUCUACAGCUGAGCUUCAUGUCAAAUUAAAGGAAUGCCUUCUGGUUUUUGUGAACAAGAUCUUGUAAUUGUUGAAUGAACAAAAAGAUUCAACCUUGACAAUUGAUUUUCUGCUAAAUGUUUAACUUAUUGGUAAUAACACAAGGGAAUAUGAGUUGUCGGUAAUAAUAUAUGCAAACUGGUUUGGCUGCCACUAAAGAUUAAUCUUCUUCUUAAAGUAGAAAUUACUUUAUGUUUUGAAAAAGAAAAUUAACUAUAAAAAUAUUUGAUUCUUUGUAUGCGUGUCUGAUUGACCGUUUACUAUGAAAGAGGAUGACACAAACUAUACGUGUUAAAAAAACCAAAUUAUAUGUGAGUUCAGAGAUACUAUUUUUAAGGUUUCAAUGAAAGAGUGUAUGACUCAAACUAUAUGUGCAAACUCAAAUUAUGCAGUGAAGCACGUACACUGUUUGACUGUCUUCCUAACUCAAAAUGUGGGUGUUUGUUACGAAAUAUGAGAAAAUUGCCAAUAUUUGUAUAGUUUUGUCUAACUUGGUCUUAACAUUGUAUGAUGUUAUUGUCUUCUCUUAGGAGAUUUGGAUGCCUCAUCUGCCCAGGAUAAAAUUGGAUAGAAUGGCAACUCUAAAAAUCAUACUGGUUACCCAAUUUACCAUCAUCUUCAAUUGGAUUCCAUCAGUUUUCUUCAAAAAUUAGUGCUUUUUGUAGAGAGGACAUUAUGUGACCACAUAAGUAUUGUGGAAAUUUUUGCUUUUCUUUGUACAAGACACGUUAAUUUUUAUUUUUUU